GUGAAGAGAUGUGUGUGGUCAGACAGAAAACAGCAAGUUCCAAAUGCUUCUCAACUCGACCCAUAACAAUGUACGGGCUUAACAUCAAUCCUGGGUCUAUGGAAGAAGACAGGGACCUGCACAAACAGAAGAAAAUCCAGCCAGCAAGAAAUUAAAGAUGGGAAAUGAAUUUAGCAAAUCUAAAGAGUGUCAAAGAUUCCCAAUAUCCAGAUGGACGUUUACCCAAUGCACCCUGCUCCCAACCAGGGUUAUAGUUCUAUACCACAUGGCCAGUUUCAUUCCCUUAAAAAUGUACGACACUGUCACAACUGUACUAUGUUAUAGUUAUGGUGAUUCCAAACAUUUGUAUUCAAC